GCAUCGUUGUUAAUAUUUGGUCAAUCGUUGGAUAACUUAAAUUGAAGUUAUUUUUCAUGCGGACUUAUUGCAUCGCCUAUUUCUUAAUGAUUUUAGUCAGUAUCCCCCGUAACACAUAUCUCUUUAGGAGUUAUCCUCCUGUGUGACUUGUUAGAAAACUUGUUUGCCGGUGGAAGUGGUACUGGAAAGAUUCUAUAAAUGCUGUUUCCUUUUCUGCUUUGAUUUUAGUCAGUACCCACAGUUUGUAAACUGGAGUCUGAGCUCUCCUAUGUCAUGUCACAGUUUGAUGUUUUUAAAGCAUGUAGCUCUUUAUGCUUCCAUAUGAACUAAAUCAUUUGGUUAAGUAGUAUGUUCUCCAUGUAAAUGCAAAGGUUGUGUCUCUCUGUAUCUACUACCCCUAUAAAAGCACGAGAGGCGGAGAUCCAUCAAAUCUUCACCGUAUGCACCCUUCGAUUCAACGUCUUAGAUUCUUUUCAUGUUUAGCACCAAGCCACUAAACACAUCUUAGCGCUAAACACUCAAAAAAACGCUAAACACAUCGCCACACCACACGUCCGUUCCCACGACCCUCGCCACGCCGCUCCGCGCCUCCCCAACCGCCCCGCCUCUGCCGCCUCCACGCCGCUCGCGCAGCCUCGCCCCCGCGCCUCCCCAACCGCCCCGCCUCCGCCGCAGGUCGCCACCAGAGCCGCCCCGCCCCACGCCCUUCGCCGAGCCGCCGGAGCUCGCGCCGAAGCCGCCCGUAGCUGGAGCCGCCGCAGGUCGCGUUAGAGCCGCCGCGGGUCGCCAGCAGCAGUCGUCACGGCCGCCACCAAGGAACAGCGCCCUCCUCCACAAAACUGCGGGCGUGCGCUGCCGCCGGGGCUCCGCGACGACGACGGCGACGAACAAGGUCCGCCAGGGAGGCGAGGCCCUGCUGGCCGCCAAGCCGCCACCACCAGGGCAACGGGCCGCCGAGGAGCUCAGCCGGGCGGCCGCCACCCAGGGGACAAUCCAGACGCGUGCCGUCGGGAGACAUGGCCCGCUCGCCCGUCGCUCUGCGGCGAGAGGACAAGUUCGACGGUGAGGCAGGGUAGAGGAACUAAGACAACGAGGAGGAGGAGGAGGAGGAGGGGGAGGGGAGGUUUGCUGGGGGGGACACGGUCCGGUGACGCCAUGCCCAAGCUAACCGAUGGCUUCGACCUCGGCAACCAGGGUCGGUGCAUCACUGCCGCCUCCAAGCGCAUCGUCACCAUCGUCGGAAUGAUGACGCGAACAAUUGUCCAUUGGGGUGCAUAAUCAGAGAGUGUUCAGCAGCAGGCAAGAUCACGAGUGGUUGCUUCUCUGCCCGGUCGACAUGUAAAUAUGCCUGUGUAGGUGCUCAAGAGCACAAAUUUCAGCAGUUGGAUCGCUGUUGAUGAUGACCAGAUAAGGCAGAUCAUUCCAUCGAUUCUCCGCGCCUGCCCCUCCAUACACGACCCCCGCGCCUCCCAGGCCUAUCCCCUUCCCUGCAGAUUCUGCAGCCUUCGACCCCAUGGACGCCACACAUCCGUUGCAAGCAAUCUUCUACUUCCCCGUCGGCGGCCUGCCUCACAGUCUCUUCGAACUUCCUUCCCCGUCUGCGGCCUACCUCACAAUCUCUUCGACACUUCCCUCCCGCCUACCUCACAAUCUCUUCAACACUAACCUCCCUGUCCUCCUGCAUCCCUGGCUUGGCCCACUCCUUGCAUUGCCACCGACGACCCCGCGGACGCAGCACAUGCCGUUGUUGAUAAUCAGGCUUCACAAUAAGGAGAAUAGGGUUAAUUAGUUGCUACUGGAAGUGGACAGAUUGUCUACGCAGAGCGCUUAGAGAAAAGAGUGAGUGGUUCCAUUUUAUGUAGAGGGAAUGUUCGCAAUGCAUCUUAAAUUUUGGAGAGAAAUGAACCCAUAAAGAAUUCAGCAUUGUGUGUUUGUUAACGUAUCCCGACAGUAUAAAUGAACCCAUGAAGAAUGUUCAGAUUUCUUUCCAUGGUCAGUAGUAGAUUUGUUCGCAAACCAAUUGUAUUACAGGUUAACUUGUCUAUAAUAUCGCUUCAUAUUUGUGUGUUUUAAGGUGAAUUUACUAC